rnacentral:lncRNA from 1 species
CCAACAUUUCUGGCUCCAGAGGAAGAGAAUCAUGGCAUACACGCGAUGUUUCUGGCAACAGAAGAAGAAAGGCAUUGGAAAGACAGUGUGAGGACACUGAUCUCAGAAAGACAACUGCAGAAGGCAGCAGCUUAAAGAAAAAGAUUGUGUCUUCAGUGACAGACUGAAAGUGAAGUGAUUUAACUGGAAAGGAAUCAACCCAAGUAAACAAAAGCAAAAUGUGCUUCAGUGGGAAGGAGUAAUACUGAGAGGGGCAGCAGAGUCCCAUGCAGCAGCUGUUCAGCCUUCUAUUGGUAUAAAAGAAAGACUUACAUCUGACACCUCACAGCAGCCACUAGCCUAUGGAGACCAGACUUCUAACAUGAAGGAAAUGUUAGAAAUUAUGAAAGAGAUGGACAACAAAAAAACAAAGGAAAUGUUUGAAAUGAUAAAAGAGCUCGACAAUAAAAAGAUGAAGCAAGUGUUUGAAAUGAUAAAAGAGAUGGACAAUAAAAAAACACAGGAAAUGUUCACAAUGGUAAAAGAGAUGGACAACAAAAAAACAAAGGAAAUGUUUGAAAUUAUGAAAGAGGUGGACAGCAAGAACACAAAGGAAAUAAUCGAAAGGAUGAAGAAUAUGGACCAAAAAAUAACAAUUUUGUCUGACACUAUUCAGUAUCUACUGAACCUUCUGGAUAGUCACAACAGAGAACUUCCUGAAAGGGUAAUCCAAUUACUGUGUAAGGAGAAAGAGGAAAAUGAGAUGCUGAAAGAGAAGACAAAAAAGCUACAGGAAAGAAUGCAAGAGAUGUUGACUAAAGCAAUGGCCACGCACCAACACUCUGAGGACAUCAGUGACCCUUCACGUUUGUCUGCAGUGCUGGAGAGAUACGAGAUGCUCCGGCUACAGGAAUGGGAGAAAGUCAGGAGCUCCAUGCCCUACCGUUGGACCUAUGAAGAGGGCAGCCGCAUCAUUAGGAGGGUGUUUGAUGCCUGUGAAAAAGAUAUACAGAAGAGAGCAGAUGACAUACUUAAAGUUCUUGACAUUCCACCUUCAAAUAAGGUGAUGAUGCAUGACAUAAUGAAGCUGCUCAGGCAACAGUAUCACCAAAACUCAAUGGUUUACAAGAAGAUUGUUCAAGAAGCUGCCAUUCACAUAAGAACUGAAAAUGAAACACAGUUCCUGAUGCAGUGCUGUCAAAUUUAUUGUCUACUGCUUCUUCAGGACCCACCAGUUAAAGCUGAGUGGAAGAUGAACAGAAACCAUUUAGAGCACGUGGACAAGAAAGAUGAAGUGCACUGGCAAAAAGCAUCACUUCUGUGGCCCAUAAUGAAACGUGGGGAAGAAAUUAUUGUGAAAGGUGUAGUCUGGGAUCAAAGGAAAAUGACUUGAGAGUCGGGCUAAUUACUUACUUAGCCAUAAGAAGAUGAAACAGCUGCUAUGCGAUACUCUGCUUUUCUUUCUCCCAUUAAUUGCCUACUUUUCAGAGCUAGUAAGUUAGACAUCCCCCACAUGGGACAUCUAGGAUAAAUCAUCAUUAACAAACCUGUAUUAAAAACUGAAGCUAUUCCAAUUGUCUCCUCACAAAGGCCACCUGCCUGUUAGCACUCCCCUGCUUUCCCACAUCUGUACAAUUUACCUUUCCCAAAGUCCUUCAGCUACACACGUGCCACAGCACUGGACCAAAGAAAUCUACAAGUUGUAUUCCGUGGCAUAAUGGGGAUGCAAUGAGGCAAAUGCAUGUUUAUGUUAUUUGGUGUGACACAGUAUUCUGUGAGCAACUUGAGAAUUACCAAAUAAAAAAGACUUUAAAUUC